GAUGAACGCUGGCGGCGUGCCUAAUACAUGCAAGUCGAGCGAACGGACGAGAAGCUUGCUUCUCUGAUGUUAGCGGCGGACGGGUGAGUAACACGUGGAUAACCUACCUAUAAGACUGGGAUAACUUCGGGAAACCGGUGCUAAUACCGGAUGAUAUUUUGAACCGCAUGGUUCAAAAGUGAAAGACGGUCUUGCUGCCACCUAUAGAUGGAUCCGCGCUGCAUUAGCUAGUUGGUAAGGUAACGGCUUACCAAGGCAACGAUGCUUAGCCGACCUGAGAGGGUGAUCGGCCACACUGGAACUGAGACACGGUCCAGACUCCUACGGGAGGCAGCAGUGGGGAAUCUUCGGCAAUGGGCGAAAGCCUGACGGAGCAACGCCGCGUGGGUGAUGAAGGUCUUCGGAUCGUAAACCUCUGUUGUUGGGAAAGAACAUAUGUAGAAUUAAAUGUGCACAUCUUGACGGUACCUAAUCAGAAAGCCACGGCUAACUACGUG
rnacentral:rRNA from 1 species